GAUGAACGCUGGCGGCGUGCCUAAUACAUGCAAGUCGAGCGAACAGAUGAGGAGCUUGCUCCUCUGACGUUAGCGGCGGACGGGUGAGUAACACGUGGAUAACCUACCUAUAAGACUGGGAUAACUUCGGGAAACCGGAGCUAAUACCGGAUAAUAUAUUGAACCGCAUGGUUCAAUAGUGAAAGACGGUUUUGCUGUCACUUAUAGAUGGAUCCGCGCCGCAUUAGCUAGUUGGUAAGGUAACGGCUUACCAAGGCAACGAUGCGUAGCCGACCUGAUAGGGUGAUCGGCACAACUGGACCUGAGAAACGUCCAGACCCCCACGGGAAGGAGGAGUUAGGAAUCCUGCCGAAUGGGGCGAAGGCCUAACGGAGCAAAGCGGGGGGAUGAAUGAGGGUCUUCGGAUCGUAAAACUCUGUUAUUAGGAAAAAAAAAAUGUGUAAGUAACUAUGCACGUCUUGACGGUACCAAAUCAGAAAGCCACGGCUAACUACGU
rnacentral:rRNA from 1 species